rnacentral:rRNA from 1 species
CCUACGGGAGGCAGCAGUGGGGAAUAUUGCACAAUGGGGGAAACCCUGAUGCAGCGACGCAGCGUGAGUGAAGAAGUAAUUCGUUAUGUAAAGCUCUAUCAGCAGGGAAGAAAAUGACGGUAACUGAGUAAGAAGCCCCGGCUAACUACGUGCCAGCAGCCGCGGUAAGAAGUAGGGGGCAAGCGUUAUCCGGAUUUACGGGGUGUAAAGGGAGCGUAGACGGAAGUGCAAGUCUGGAGUGAAAGGCGGGGGCACAACCCCCGGACUGCUCUGGAAACUGUACGGAUGGAGUGCAGGAGAGGUAAGUGGAAUUCCUAGUGUAGCGGUGAAAUGCGUAGAUAUUAGGAGGAACACCAGUGGCGAAGGCGGCUUACUGGACUGUAACUGACGUUGAGGCUCGAAAGCGUGGGGAGCAAACAGGAUUAGAUACCCGAGUAGUC